rnacentral:rRNA from 1 species
CAGCAGCCGCGGUAAUACGAGGGGUGCAAGCGUUGUCCGGAAUUAUUGGGCGUAAAGGGCUCGCAGGCGGUUUCUUAAGUCUGAUGUGAAAGCCCCCGGCUCAACCGGGGAGGGUCAUUGGAAACUGGGAAACUUGAGUGCAGAAGAGGAGAGUGGAAUUCCACGUGUAGCGGUGAAAUGCGUAGAGAUGUGGAGGAACACCAGUGGCGAAGGCGACUCUCUGGUCUGUAACUGACGCUGAGGAGCGAAAGCGUGGGGAGCGAACAGGAUUAGAUACCCCCGUAGUCCCUGUCUCUUAUAC